UACGGGGGGGGCAAGCGUUGUUCGGAAUUACUGGGCGUAAAGGGCUCGUAGGCGGCCAACUAAGUCGGAUGUGAAAUCCCCAGGCUUAACCUGGGAACUGCAUCCAUACUGUGAUGGCUUGAAUCCGGGAGAGGGAUGCAGAAUUCCAGGUGUAGCGGUGAAAUGCGUAGAUAUCUGGAGGAAUACCGGUGGCGAAGGCGGCAUCCUGGACCGGCAUUGACGCUGAGUGAGCGAAAGCCAGGGGAGCAAACGGG
rnacentral:rRNA from 1 species